ensembl:lncRNA
AACGUUGUUGUAGCGAAUACAGCAAUGCUAUUUUCUAAUUGGCAGGGCAUAUGUAUGAUUCUAGACUUCGCUAAGCACUGAAGCGACUGAAACGGUGAAUUUUGAUCACAUUCAGCGAAGUUAACAGGUAAAACGUGAGAAAAAUAGGGCGUCUUUAGGCCGUCCUGCCUAAAAGUAGGGCGUCCCAUUUCUUCUUAUUUUUUAGUAGACUAUAGGGCAGACGCCCUGCUAGCUAAAAGCCUGGUUGGUGUAGACAUUCGAGAGACCAAAAAGACUGAAAAGGUGUGUUAUCGAAUUUAGUGGGCCGGUCUGGUUCAAAAUGCCCGGGCCGAUUUUUUUUGUCCCAGUCCGCCCCUGGAUGUGACUAACGGCGUUAAAAUAAAACGGCGUUGCUAAGGGCGUUAUUUUUUCAUUGACGGAUAAUCUAAUUGUUUCCACGCCGUUACCGACGAUUUGAUGUGGUGAAAAGUAACGCGCUCACCACUGGUCUCAGAGGAUCCAACACUGAAGAAGAGACGUGACACCAGUUUUUUCAGUUUACGGGUCAUUCAGUGAAACCCAUGUUAAAUGUUGAGACAGAAUAUCUAACGUGAUUUGGCAUGAAAUAUAGGUUACAUGUGAUGUGACAGGUAGUUUGAAAUGUAAUGUUAUUGUCUGGGCAUUUUUACAGCAAAGAUGACAGAGAGAAGGAGAGGGAGGAGAAAAACUCCUGAUCAGGAUGCUAUUGACCACAUUACCAUUGGAGAAGACAAAUCUUUCCUGGAAGGAAGAUUUAUUAACACACAUAAAGGGAGAGGUGUGCUUACACAAGACUACAUUGAACCAAAAAGUUUUGUGGUGGAGUAUCGUGGAGUUUUGUCUCUGAGCGACAGUGCAGAUGACAAAAACAGCAAAUAUGCAUUUGAGUUCAUGUGGAAUGGGAAGCACUAUUGCAUAGAUGCUUCAAAAGAGGACGGAACACUGGGACGACUAGUGAACGAUGAUCACAUACAUCCCAACUGCAAAGUCAAGAGGAUAAUGGUCAAAGGAAGGCCACACUUGUGUCUAUUUUCCAUCAAGGAAAUCUUUCCAGGCGAGGAGAUAACAUUUAACUAUGGCCAUGACUCUUGGCCAUGGCGCUCAGUGGCACCCUGUGAAGAACCAUCUGACCCAAACUUGACGAAAAGUGAGCCAGUCUCAGAAAAGGACGUCUGUGAUGGGGUUGAUAUGAUGGCAACGGUUAGUUCAACUCCCGCAACAUCCAAAGACGACACUAAGUUGACAGUAUUCCUGUAAUAUGAUUUUACAUCCAGGCAUAAUACUGGACAUCUGUGAUGGGGUUGAUAUGAUGGCAGCGGUUAGUUCAACUCCCGCAACAUCCAAAGACGACACUUGCCACCAUAUACUUACCAGCGCAUUUGUCAACGCUUUGGACCAUUGUGAAGCUUGCAAUGGACCUGUCUCCGCUCUAAGAUGGCUUGGUUACACAUGCAAAUUGUGUUCAAGGUCGUGGCACAAAUCCUGCUUUAUCAAGAUGAAUCCGUUGCAGGAUGUUGAUGAGCAUGUUUCCGACUCUGCAAGUAGUCACGGCACUUCCUCCGGUGAUCUCUUUCACAUUGACACUGAAUCAAGUUGUGAUGGAAAUAGUGAUAGUGAGGAUCCACAGUGGGUAAACCUACCACAUCGCAAGGGUGGACCAGUUAAAUCACUUUAUUCUCAGGAAAGGACAGAGAGUGCCACAACCUAUGUCCUGCAUGGAACAGGAAGACAAGGAUUCUUCCAAAUCUGUAAAAUUCGACAUUGAUGGUGACCACAUACCUGAUAGUGAACCCUGUUGUGAUGAUGAUCCUACAACAAGCAAUACCCAGACUCUUCUAUCAAGUACAAAAGAGGCUUCUUCUAAUGAGGCUGCAGUCGUGCCAGAAGUCUCUCCUUGCACUCAAAGAAAUUACUGCUAUGUUUGCAAAACACCUCAAUCUAAAAUAUCCUGUCAUCUUAAAAAACAUGAAAAAGGAGAGCUUGAUAUUGCUGAAGCAUUCUCGUUUCCUAAGAAAUCAAAAGAGAGAAAAAGACUACUUGAGAAGUUGCGGAACAGAGGUAAUUACGAACACAACCAGGAAGUUUUGAGGAAUCAUGAAGGACAACUGAAAUUAAGAAGAAGACCAUCACGAUCAAAAAUCUCUGUGACAACCCAAACGCAUGUGCACUGUGCAUAUUGUAAGGGCAUGUUCAUUCGUAAGGAGCUGUGGCGCCACUUGCGUAGAUGCCCAUCAAAGACGGUCUCCGAGAGUGAGGCUGUUGGGAAGAAUAGAGUCUUAGUUGUGGCUGAUAUCUCGGAGACAACAUUCUGCCAAGCAAUUUGCGCUGGACUGUGGAAAAUCCUUAGAAAUAUGAGGCAAGAUGAGAUUGCAUCUGUUGUACGAAAUGACUUCCUCAUUCUGCAACUGGGCCAGUCUCUCUUCAACAAGCAUGGGAGUGAUUCAACAAAGUUUGAGUAUAUCAGAGCCAAGGUCCGAGAAAUGGGCAGACUGUUGUUGACCUUAAGAAAGAAAUAUUCUAUAUUUAGCUUUGAAGAAGCUGUAAAGCCAAAUCAUUUUUACAAGAUCAUUGGAGCUGUCAGAGCAGUUGCAGGAUAUGAUGAAGAGAAACACUCCUAUUGCACACCAAGCCUUGCCCUGAAAUUGGGACACUCGCUCAAGAAGAUCGGUGACAUUAUUCUCUGCAGGGCCAUCGCAGCAGAGGAUGAAGAUUUGAUUAAAGCAGCAGAACGAUUCACACAACUCUGCACAAAACAGUGGGCAACACAGGUCUCCCACACUGCACUGGCUACUUUGAGCAAGGCAAAAUUUAACAAACCAUCCACCAUACCAUUCACAGAGGAUGUGCAGCUCUUGCACAAGUACCUGGAGGACAAAUCAGCAGACGCCAUUGAAAACCUAAAAGACCAUGAUUCUCCACAGGCGUAUGCUGAACUUGCUAGGGUGACACUCACUCAGAUAAUCGUCUUUAAUAG